GUCCAAGGCCGAGCUGCUGAAUCACUGCAGGUGGCAGGUACAGAGAGGGGUGGUCUGCAUCCCCAAGAGCGUCACUCCUUCCAGGAUCCUGAAGAACCUGCAGGUGUUUGACUUCUCCUGUCGGAUGAAGACCUGAAGCAGAUCGAGUCGUUCAACAGAAACAAGAGGUACAUCAUCCCGGCUGUGGAGGUGAGUUCUGAUUGUCUCAGAUGAGACCUCAGGGUGCAGGUCAAUAGUCUUAUAUACAGCCUCAUUCCCUAGUCCCAACUAGAUAGGUUAAGAAGAGC
rnacentral:lncRNA from 1 species